rnacentral:rRNA from 1 species
GACUGAACCGCCGGGCGGUGUGCCUAAUACAUGCAAGUCGAACGAGCGGAGAGAGAAGCUUGCUUUCUCGAGCGAGUGGCGAACGGGUGAGUAACGCGUGAGGAACCUGCCUCAAAGAGGGGGACAACAGUUGGAAACGACUGCUAAUACCGCAUAAGCCCACGACCCGGCAUCGGGUUGAGGGAAAAGGAGCAAUCCGCUUUGAGAUGGCCUCGCGUCCGAUUAGCUAGUUGGUGGGGUAAUGGCCCACCAAGGCGACGAUCAGUAGCCGGCCUGAGAGGGUGAACGGCCACAUUGGGACUGAGACACGGCCCAA